rnacentral:rRNA from 1 species
AUGACGCAGAUGGAGGAGCUCGUGCAGGAGUGCGACAUGGAGGUGAUGAAGAUGGCCAUGCUCAAGCACGAGCAGACCUUCAGGCAGCAGGUGCAUGAUCUGCACCGGCUGUACCGAGUCCAGAAGCAGCUCAUGGGCGACCAGAGCGGGCGCCUGUCGGUGCCACCCUGCCGUCAGGCGCAGCGGCGCAGGCAGCACCCCCGUCGGCCGGAGCUGAGCCUGCAGCUUCCUGUCGACGACGAUGUGUACACCGUAUUCAGCGCCGGCACAGGCCGCCUAACGACGCCACCGUCCAGGGAAAGCGAGGACGGGCUAGAGCUGACGCUGGCCGUCGGCGGCGGCGGCGGGAACGGCGGCAGCAGCCGGAGCCAGAGGAGGAGGCGGGAGAGCGCGACGGACUGCUCCGGCAGAAGCCCACAGACGCCGUCUUCGUCGACGGACUCCGACGAGGCGCUCCGCCCGGUGCUGGACCACCACCGGAGGGCGACGGCGUGUGAUCUCCGGGGAGGGGUGAUGGUGUCGAAGCAGCCGCAAUGGCUGGUGCGCUGUCUCAGCCUUAGGAUGGCUUGA